GAUGAACGCUGGCGGCGUGCCUAAUACAUGGAAGUCGAGCGAACGGACGAGAAGCUUGCUUUUCUGAUGUUAGCGGCGGACGGGUGAGUAACACGUGGAUAACCUACCUAUAAGACUGGGAUAACUUCGGGAAACCGGAGCUAAUACCGGAUAAUAUUUUGAACCGCAUGGUUCAAAAGUGAAAGACGGUCUUGCUGUCACUUAUAGAUGGAUCCGCGCUGCAUUAGCUAGUUGGUAAGGUAACGGCUUACCAAGGCAACGAUGCAUAGCCGACCUGAGAGGGUGAUCGGCCACACUGGAACUGAGACACGGUCCAGACUCCUACGGGAGGCAGCAGUAGGGAAUCUUCCGCAAUGGGCGAAAGCCUGACGGAGCAACGCCGCGUGAGUGAUGAAGGUCUUCGGAUCGUAAAACUCUGUUAUUAGGGAAGAACAUAUGUGUAAGUAACUGUGCACAUCUUGACGGUACCUAAUCAGAAAGCCACGGCUAACUACGUG
rnacentral:rRNA from 1 species